rnacentral:lncRNA from 1 species
ACAGUGGAUGGUGAACCCUUGGGCCAUGUCUCUUUUGAGCUGUUGCAGACAAAGUUCCAAAGACAGCAGAAACCGUCAUGCUCUGAGCACUGGAGAGAAAGGAUUCAGAUAUAAGGGUUUGUCCUUUCACAGAAUUACUCCAGGAUUCAUGUGCCAGGGUGGUGACAUCUACGGGGAGAAAUCUGAGGAUGAGAACUUUAUCCUGAAGCAAAUUCAAGUCCUAGCAGCUUCUUCAUGGCAAAUGCUGGACCAAACUCCAGUGGUUCAUCUGCACUGCCAAGUCUGAAUGGCUGGAUGUCACCACAUGGUCUUUCGUGAAAGAGAGCAUGAGUCCUGUAGAUGCCAUGGAGCAUUUUGAGUCCUGGAAUAGCAAGAAGAUCACCAUUGCCUACUGUGGACACCUC